rnacentral:lncRNA from 1 species
ACUUAGAUCUUCAAUGUGGAUCAGAGGAGAGAGUGGAACGUCUCUUAAAUAGAGCUAAAAGAAGACAAUGGAGACCCUCUCUACCUCAAGCUCCAUCUAGAAAUUGCAGGGAGAUGAUGACUCCUAAUGUGAGUCUAAUUUUUUUCAUGUAUUUUUAUUUUUGUUUCGACUGAUUUUAUCAUCUGUGCCGAUCAAAUAGAUCAAAUCUAGAUUUUGUUCAGCCCAGAAG